UACAGAGGUCUCAAGCGUUUGUUCGGAUUCAUUGGGCGUAAAGGGUGCGUAGGCGGCGCGGUAAGUCGGGUGUGAAAAUCUCGGAGCUUAACUCCGAAACUGCAUUCGAUACUGCCGUGCUUGAGGACUGGAGAGGAGACUGGAAUUUACGGUGUAGCGGUGAAAUGCGUAGAUAUCGUAAGGAAGACCAGUGGCGAAGGCGGGGUCUCUGGAC
rnacentral:rRNA from 1 species